rnacentral:rRNA from 1 species
GAUGAACGCUGGCGGCGUGCCUAAUACAUGCAAGUCGAGCGAACAGAUGAGGAGCUUGCUCCUCUGACGUUAGCGGCGGACGGGUGAGUAACACGUGGAUAACCUACCUAUAAGACUGGGAUAACUUCGGGAAACCGGAGCUAAUACCGGAUAAUAUAUUGAACCGCAUGGUUCAAUAGUGAAAGACGGUUUUGCUGUCACUUAUAGAUGGAUCCGCGCCGCAUUAGCUAGUUGGUAGGGUAACGGCUUACCAAGGCAACGAUGCGUAGCCGACCUGAGAGGGUGAUCGGCCACACUGGAACUGAGACACGGUCCAGACUCCUACGGGAGGCAGCAGUAGGGAAUCUUCCGCAAUGGGCGAAAGCUUGACGGAGCAACGCCGCGUGAGUGAUGAAGGUCUUCGGAUCGUAAAACUCUGUUAUUAGGGAAGAACAAAUGUGUAAGUAACUAUGCACGUCUUGACGGUACCUAAUCAGAAAGCCACGGCUAACUACGUG